ACGGCUACCUUGUUACGACUUCACCCCAGUCAUGAAUCACAAAGUGGUAAGCGCCCUCCCGAAGGUUAAGCUACCUACUUCUUUUGCAACCCACUCCCAUGGUGUGACGGGCGGUGUGUACAAGGCCCGGGAACGUAUUCACCGUGGCAUUCUGAUCCACGAUUACUAGCGAUUCCGACUUCAUGGAGUCGAGUUGCAGACUCCAAUCCGGACUACGACGCACUUUAUGAGGUCCGCUUGCUCUCGCGAGGUCGCUUCUCUUUGUAUGCGCCAUUGUAGCACGUGUGUAGCCCUACUCGUAAGGGCCAUGAUGACUUGACGUCA
rnacentral:rRNA from 1 species